rnacentral:lncRNA from 1 species
GUCCAAAUCAUAUGUGCUGAGUCCAGUCAAAUGGCAGUCAAAUAAUGGGACUUGAUUCGCCGUCUUAUGAGCUAGCGCGCCAUUUUUUGAGCGUUUCCGGUGUUUACUUUUCUGCACGUGCUUCAUUUUCCUGCGAGGCCAGUGCUCGGAGCGUCCCGGCCGAGAGGCUUUCCCAGAGCCAGUGCUGCUGCGGGUGUCCCCAUUUGGUGCACGGGCUCCUCCGUCCACGGGCUCCGUCAUGGCCGGCUCUAUCAUCGUGCCUACAGAUCCGGCGUGGUGUCGUCAGUAACAGCGCCAUGUCACCAGCUCCGACGUAAUUUCACCGUCUCGACGCGUCAUCGCUACCUUCGUGGUGUCACGGUUAAGGGCUGCCUAAACACUGCCAUAUCACUUCUUAACAAAUCUUAUAAUUCUUACGGUCUGCAAAUUCCAAAGUCUUGUUCGGGCAGCCACACGCACAGCGGGACGAGAUGUAGCAGGUGCCGCCCCCUUCGAAAAGCUAACUGAUCUUAAACUCGGGCACACCACUGGGUAUCCAGCGUUGAUGCCAAGCCAAGUCAUUGUGACGGCACUGUCCCCGAUGCUGUGCGUCAAAAACCGUCUCAGAGCAUCAGAUGUGCUAUGCAACCGCCUAUUUGUCUCAGGUGCGAUGCUGGGAGCUUUAGCAUGGCAUAGCGAUCUCCUCCGCCAGGCCAAGUUUGUUGGCAUGUUUCCUGUUCAGACAAAUGUGGACCGUGUACAGUCAGCUUAGAGAUGCAACUUGUGUGUGGUCGUUUCAGUGUACUUUGCUGUAGGCAUGGGUUAUGCGACAUUCUAUGUGAACCCUUGAGUUACUAAUAAAUGCUGUGACGCAU